rnacentral:rRNA from 1 species
GACGAACGCUGGCGGCGUGCCUAAUACAUGCAAGUAGAACGCUGAAGAGAGGAGCUUGCUCUUCUUGGAUGAGUUGCGAACGGGUGAGUAACGCGUAGGUAACCUGCCUUGUAGCGGGGGAUAACUAUUGGAAACGAUAGCUAAUACCGCAUAACAAUGGAUGACACAUGUCAUUUAUUUGAAAGGGGCAAUUGCUCCACUACAAGAUGGACCUGCGUUGUAUUAGCUAGUAGGUGAGGUAAUGGCUCACCUAGGCGACGAUACAUAGCCGGCCUGAGAGGGUGAUCGGCCACACUGGGACUGAGACACGGCCCAGACUCCUACGGGAGGCAGCAGUAGGGAAUCUUCGGCAAUGGGGGCAACCCUGACCGAGCAACGCCGCGUGAGUGAAGAAGGUUGUCGGAUCGUAAAGCUCUGUUGUAAGUCAAGAACGGGUGUGAGAGUGGAAAGUUCACACUGUGACGGUAGCUGACCAGAAAGGGACGGCUAACUACGUG